UGACGUCUGUGGUCUGUCGGCUGCAAAUGUGAAGCUUCGCGUAUUCACAAUAAUUUCUUAUGAAGACGGAAGUAUGCCAGACUGAUUGAUAUAAUGAGUUGAUAAGUUGUAUAAAUGCAAAGUGUCCGUCAUAUCAAGUUAAAAAUAAUGAAAUAGGCACCUUUUGUGUGUGUUGCUGCAGCUGUAAAUUGUUUCCUGUCAGAUUGCCGGUUAUAACUCAGAUUAAGGCAAGGCAAAAUGUAUUAAACUGCAUAAGUAGAAUGUCAGAAGAGAUUCAUAGCCUCAGAGAAAAACAAGUAAAGAUAUCACAAAGUGGAAAAGAAGAAAAAAUGGGUACAGACAUAAGAACAAGGAAGCUGGACACAAGUAGGACACGAAACAGAUUAACUAGUAUUCUCCAUCAAAGUGCCAAGGGUAAGGGUGCACCAAAGAGAAGUUUGCAUCGCAAACAGCAUGUAUAUGUAUGAAGACUGUGAGAAGCAAGAGGAUAACAAAUAAUUUCAAUAUCAAAUAUUGUUCUUGAAUUGAUGCCUGAAUUGGACUGUGAUAAAUAAGAAACAGAUUUACUUAAAUUGCUUAAAUUUAUGUUUUGAGUUCUUACAUAAUUUAGAGAGAGCACUGCAACUAGCUGUAACACAGCAAACAUUUGCCUGAUUAAGACAUUUUAUUGAUAAGCUAAAAUUUAUGUCAAGUCUACAAAGCAUAUAGUUAUAUAAAUUAAUUUUAAUAAUUUGGUCAAUUUUUAAAAGUACAAUUAAUCACAAGUUAAUUGUUUUUCAUGAAAUUAAUGUUUAUUAUGAUGUUAGGUUUUUGUAGGAGUAUCCUAUAGAUUGCAGAUAUUUUUGUUGUCAUGGGAACUGUUGAUUUACCAGCUAGAUGUGUAAAUGUUUAGAGUACUAUAGGCUUUCGUGCUUAGAGGAUUGUAUAUGGGAAUUUGAUGUAAGAAAGAUUGUUUUUCUUGGUGUUGUAAACGAUGUUUUAGCAUUUGCCAACCAUCACUCUUUAUGUGUUUACAUAAGUAAAGGACCCACUUUUUCCAAACACGUCAGUCCUUGGCGCAGGAAGCAGGGGGCUAAUGGGUAUUUAAGUCAUUCUACUGUUUCAGGCAAAUAAGUACACAUCUAAGUCAUUUCACUAUGUUAUCGCUAAACCAGGCAAUAUACAAUGGGCACAUAUUUUUGUCAUUAUCUUCCCCCCUCCAUCUCUAAUUAUUAUUUUCUUUCAAAAUGGUUAACCCCCCCCCCAAAAAAAAAAAAAAAAAAUCUGCUUCCUACGCGCCUGCCUUGAAUUUGAGUAUUUAAGGACAUGGAAAUCUCAACAUUCCCUGUGGUAGAGACAGCCUCAUUUCACUUUGUGCGUUUUCUUUUCCAUUUUAAAAUUAUAUUUGAACAGGUUAGAUUUUUUAUUUAUUUUUUUCUACUUUAAAAACGAUGUGGCGUGAGUUAGAUUUGAAUAACAAAACACAAAUUGUUACUGUUAGUG
rnacentral:misc_RNA from 1 species